CUUAGCGAACUGAAACAUCUGAGUAGCUAAAGGAAGGAAAAUCAACCGAGACCCCGUUAGUAGCGGCGAGCGAGAGCGGAACAAGGGUUUUCAUCAAAAGAAAUCCGAAGCGGUUUCAUUCGAUUUGUUGUGGAUUGGAUGAUGGAAAAACCAGCAAGCAGCAAGCGUAGGCUGUGUUGCCGUAGCGCGCCCUACGGAGUUGUACAAAGUCAGCAACCGUUUUGGGGCGCAAGCAUAGGCAACACAGGACUGAUGACGGGGUGGGGCGCGCAGUGAACUGGUUUUCUAAAAAGAUUGGAAGAUCCGGCCAAAGAAGGUGAUAGCCCUGUUCAUUCGUUCCCAUGGUUCGAUCCUUCCCAGUAAAACGCGGCGUGUUCGAAUGAUGAUCGCUUUUACGCGAGAAAGGGGGACCACCCUCUAAGCCUAAGUAUUCCUCAAUGACCGAUAGCGUACAAGUACCGUGAGGGAAAGGUGAAAAGAACCCCAAUCGGGGAGUGCAAUAGAGAACCUGAGAUCCGAUGCGAACAAUCAG
rnacentral:rRNA from 2 species